rnacentral:rRNA from 1 species
GCAAGUCGAACGGUAACGCGGGGCAACCUGGCGACGAGUGGCGAACGGGUGAGUAAUGCAUCGGAACGUGCCCAGUAGUGGGGGAUAGCUCGACGAAAGUCGAAUUAAUACCGCAUACGACCUACGGGUGAAAGGGGGGGAUCGCAAGACCUCUCGCUAUUGGAGCGGCCGAUGUCAGAUUAGGUAGUUGGUGGGGUAAAAGCUCACCAAGCCUGUGAUCUGUAGCUGGUCUGAGAGGACGACCAGCCACACUGGGACUGAGACACGGCCCAGACUCCUACGGGAGGCAGCAGUGGGGAAUUUUGGACAAUGGGCGAAAGCCUGAUCCAGCCAUGCCGCGUGCGGGAAGAAGGCCUUCGGGUUGUAAACCGCUUUUGUCAGGGAAGAAAUGCCUCGGGAUAAUACCCUGGGGAGAUGACGGUACCUGA